rnacentral:rRNA from 1 species
CCUACGGGUGGCUGCAGUGGGGAAUAUUGGACAAUGGGGGCAACCCUGAUCCAGCCAUGCCGCGUGUGUGAAGAAGGCCUUCGGGUUGUAAAGCACUUUAAGCGGGGAGGAAGGCCUUGAGACUAAUACUCUUGAGGAUUGACGUUACCCGCAGAAUAAGCACCGGCUAACUCUGUGCCAGCAGCCGCGGUAAUACAGAGGGUGCAAGCGUUAAUCGGAGUGCCUGGGCGUAGAGCGCGCGUUGGGAUUUGAAAUCCCCGGGCUCAACCUGGGCACGGCAUCCGAUACUGGCUGACUAGAGUGUGGGAGAGGAAGGUAGAAUUCCAGGUGUAGCGGUGAAAUGCGUAGAGAUCUGGAGGAAUACCGAUGGCGAAGGCAGCCUUCUGGCCUAACACUGACGCUGAGGUGCGAAAGCAUGGGGAGCAAACAGGAUUAGAUACCCCUGUAGUC